ensembl:snRNA U6 U6 spliceosomal RNA
GCUCACUUCAUCAGCACACUGACAUUAGAAUGAUACAGAAAAGAUCACCACAGUCCCUGUGCAAGGAUGACAUGCAAAUUCAUGAAGUGUUCCAUAUUUUA